rnacentral:rRNA from 1 species
UAGGGAAUCUUCCACAAUGGACGAAAGUCUGAUGGAGCAACGCCGCGUGAGUGAAGAAGGGUUUCGGCUCGUAAAACUCUGUUGUUAAAGAAGAACAUAUCUGAGAGUAACUGUUCAGGUAUUGACGGUAUUUAACCAGAAAGCCACGGCUAACCACGUACCAG